CCUACGGGUGGCAGCAGUGAGGAAUAUUGGUCAAUGGACGAGAGUCUGAACCAGCCAAGUAGCGUGAAGGAUGACUGCCCUAUGGGUUGUAAACUUCUUUUAUAUGGGAAUAAAAUGUUCCACGUGUGGGAUUUUGUAUGUACCAUAUGAAUAAGGAUCGGCUAACUCCGUGCCAGCAGCCGCGGUAAUACGGAGGAUCCGAGCGUUAUCCGGAUUUAUUGGGUUUAAAGGGAGCGUAGGUGGAUUGUUAAGUCAGUUGUGAAAGUUUGCGGCUCAACCGUAAAAUUGCAGUUGAAACUGGCAGUCUUGAGUACAGUAGAGGUGGGCGGAAUUCGUGGUGUAGCGGUGAAAUGCUUAGAUAUCACGAAGAAAUCCGAUUGUGAAGGCAGUUCACUGGACUGCAACUGACACUGAGGCUCGAAAGUGUGGGUAUCAAACAGGAUUAGAUACCCUGGUAGUC
rnacentral:rRNA from 1 species